GGGGGUCUUUCAUGGGGACUAGGGCUCUUAACUGCCCACUGGGUUCCAUUUGGAUCACAAAAGCCUUCUCUGGCUCCCCAGCAGAACUGAUUUGCCUCUCGUGUUUCCGGGGACCCAGUCCUGUUAUGAAGCGACAGUAGUUGGCCCUGCAUAGAGUUUUUUAUCCCCAAAUAGCCGCAUUCUUUCAAAUGGCUGUUUGAGCUGCUUGACACACACUAGGGAAGCUGGCAGAAUAUCAUGCCCUUCCCUUUGGGAAUGAGAAGCGUGGUGACAAAGAAGCCACCCAGAAGGCCCCACACGGCUGGGUGCGGGGCUCAGGAGAAGCUUGCAGGGACCAGCCUCCCCCUCGGCCCAUCCGGAUAACCUCCUCCGCUCCGCUCUUCUGUAUGACGGCAGGGACAGAAACGGGCAGCUCUGGCUCUUUGAGUUCUGUUUUCUGUUGAGUUUCAAUCUCCUGGUUGGUGUUGGGUGAAAUUGCUGAGAAAAGUAUCCAUCACAGAUAAUCUAGAAAAGGGGAAAUUGGAAACCAUUGAAUUUUGCUUCUAAAACUCCUCUUGGAGUGUGACAAGCAAAAAAGCAGCAAGAAGAAAUCACUCUUCAGUACUCUGCUUGGACCAUCUCCUUUGCUAGACCACCCCAUGCCUAAGGUGAAAAGAAACAAAGGACUCGAAUCGACAUUGCCAAGGCCCACAGAUGGAACUUCAUGAGUCAGGUCUUCUCCUCAUGUGCGUCACCCACCAGAAUCAAAAACACCUUUGCUGGUCCCAGGAGAGAUCUCUCUUCCCACCAAGGACAGAGGCCCCCAGCUCAGUUGGACCUCACUAAGCAGGGGGAGUUUAAGCCUCUGUCGCCCGACGGCUGAGGACCCGGGGCUUCAGUGGAAAGCUGGCAGCUUGUCGCCUGUGAAGCACCCUCUUCACCUCGGAUGAGAGCGGGGGUGGGGAAUGGAGCUGAAGAAGGUGUGCAGCCUGGUCUCCUUCAAGGAGAGGAAGAGCUGGCUGGUCCUGAUGCAACAAGAACACCCAGGAGCAGGCUAAAAUUCCCCCAGUGAUAUUGGACUGGCCCCUCCUCAGGUCCAGGAGAACUGGAAAGGAUUGGACCCCGGCUUCAGGAAAGGGUGUGAGAAAAGAUGGUUCCCUUUAUCC